rnacentral:ncRNA from 14 species
CCCUGCCCUUUGUAAGUACAAGGGGCUGACAGCAAUUCUAAGUUGGCGAAGAUAGCCAAUUAAUGCCUUCUAAGUGCGUGGAAGCUCGCUGAGUUACCCGCAGCCAAAUCCUUAAUUUGAAAGGAUGCAGUUCACAGACUAACUGAAGGCGGGUCCUUCUCUUCAAUGGGAAGGCCUAAAUUAUAGUCGAUCUACCCUGUCACCAGGGAUAGAAAAAUGUUGUACACACCGCCCGUCGCUACUACCGAUUGAAUGGCUCAGUGAG